rnacentral:rRNA from 1 species
UACGGGGGGGGCAAGCGUUGUUCGGAAUUACUGGGCGUAAAGGGCGCGUAGGCGGUCGUGACAAGUCACUUGUGAAAUCUCCGGGCUUAACUCGGAACGGUCAAGUGAUACUGUCGGACUAGAGUACAGAAGGGGCAACUGGAAUUCUCGGUGUAGCGGUGAAAUGCGUAGAUAUCAGAAGGAACACCAGUGGCGAAGGCGGCUCACUGGACUGGUAUUGACGCUGAGGUGCGAAAGCGUGGGGAGCAAACAGG